UACAGAGGUCUCAAGCGUUGUUCGGAUUCAUUGGGCGUAAAGGGUGCGUAGGUGGCGCCGUAAGUCAGAUGUGAAAUUUCGGAGCUUAACUCCGAAACUGCAUUUGAUACUGCGGUGCUUGAGGACUGGAGAGGAGACUGGAAUUCACGGUGUAGCAGUGAAAUGCGUAGAUAUCGUGAGGAAGACCAGUGGCGAAGGCGGGUCUCUGGACAGUUCCUGACACUGAGGCACGAAGGCCAGGGGAGCAAACGGG
rnacentral:rRNA from 1 species